UACGAAGGGGGCUAGCGUUGCUCGGAAUCACUGGGCGUAAAGCGCACGUAGGCGGACUCUUAAGUCAGGGGUGAAAUCCUGGAGCUCAACUCCAGAACUGCCUUUGAUACUGAGGAUCUUGAGUACGGGAGAGGUGAGUGGAACUGCGAGUGUAGAGGUGAAAUUCGUAGAUAUUCGCAAGAACACCAGUGGCGAAGGCGGCUCACUGGCCCGUAACUGACGCUGAGGCACGAAAGCGUGGGGAGCAAACAGG
rnacentral:rRNA from 1 species